UUGAAAUUCAAUUUCUUCGUCUGGAUCUUCAAUCUUUCGAAACUUAUUUUUCGGUCAAGCCCCGAUCAAUGAACCUACAAAAAAGGCCUUCUAAUUGUAUCUGAUUAAACCCAGGAAUUACUGAUAUUCCUUCAUUUCCAUCAUCAUUUUGAAUUUCCCAUUUAUAUUCUCAAGGGGCUGGACUCCUCUUUCAUUCUCCUUGCACAUUAGUCUCUCUUUUCAACUUGCAAUCUUCCCUCCCUCUCUCUCUCUCUCUCUCUCUCUCUCUCUCCACGACGAUAUGGAGCUGGACAGCUUUGCAAUCGCAGCGGCUCAUGAGGCUGCUGCUGCUGUAGUAGUUGUAGACUUGUAGUCGUGGCCUGAAAGGGAGCUCGUACAGGCUCUUAUAUGGAGACCAAAAACACAGCUCCAAGAUGGCGAAACAAGCCCAGUCCAGCCCCAUCAACAUCUCCUAAGACAUCAGUGCCUCGCGUCCUGACUUCCAUUCACCACUGCGUCACUACCUACGUACGGGAAGAAUUCUUUUGUGUGGCUUGGACCAAAAUCAAGGGUGACCCUGAACUCGCAAAGGAGAUUCUGUCAAAGAAUUUCAACUUCAAAAAGCUCACGUCUAAUCCAUUAUCCAAGAUGUUAGACAGCGGAUCAGCGACUUACGAAGAUGAACAAUGGGUUAAGCACAGGAAAAUUAUUGACCCCGUGUUCCGUACGGAGUAGUUGAAGGUCAUUUUCCCUUCUCUGUUUUUCUUUUCCAUUAUGGGAAAAUGUGCUUUGCAAUUUUUUUUUUUGGUUCGACGGUCAGAAGUGUCCGAGCCAUGUUACACACACAUAUAUGGUACUUCUGAUAGUAUCUUGUUUUUGAAUGUUGUAAUAAUUAAUGUUGCUGGCAUAGAACAUGUUGCCUGCAUUUGAUAUGAGUUGCGGUGAGAUGAUAAGCAAAUGGGAGAACAUGGUCUCCAGUACUCGAGGGAUUUGCGAAUUGGACGUGUGGCCUUUUCUUCAAACUAUGACGAGCUCGAACGGCAUUCGGUAGUAACUACGAAGAAGGAUAUUCCAACUUCAGAUCGAACAAGCUGAGCACACAAUGCAGAUUUUAACUUCAGUGUACAUUCCAAGCUGGAGGUAAACUUGAAAGGCCAUUGUAAUUGGUCUGGCCUGUCCAAUUUUGAUGACAUGAUCCAUUCAUUUUAUAAGUCAGGAUUUUUAGAUCAUCGACGUGUGCAACACAUGGAUGGAUGGAGUACAAAUAUAACAUGUAAGAACAAGUAUCCAUGUGGGUGUCAUUAUUGCAUCGAUUGGGUCUCUUGUCCAUCGCGAUAUUGAUUGAUCACGACCUACAAAAUGAGCAGAUCUGAUCAUUAAAACAAGACCCAUAGUUUGGUUAUAUUGCGCCGAACAAAAGGAUGAAAGAAAUUGUUAAAGAAGUAAAAUCAUCAUUAAGGGCUUUUAUUGACAGAAGACUGAAUGCAAUGAACGCAGGAGAGGCUAGUAAUGAAGAUUUCCUGGGUAUGUUGUUGGAUUCCAAUCUAAGAGAAAUUCAGGAGGAUAAUGGGAUAGAUAGCAAGAGAAUUGGAAGGAUGAGUAUCGACGAAGUGAUCGAGGAAUGCAAGCUAUUCUAAUUUGCUGGGCAGGAGACCCCCUCCGGUUUGCUGGUGUGGACUGCAGGCAUCCACAUUGGCAACAACGUGUGAGAGAAGAGGUUUUGCGAGUGUUUGGGAAUAACAAGCCGCACUUUGACGGAUUGAAUCGCCUCAAAAUCGCAAGUAUUUACUUUCAGUAUACAUCAUAUGCAUUCUUAAGGCGAUUAUGUCGAUUACUAGUAUCUUUGACCUUCGAAACAAGGAUUUGUGCUUUUAUUUUCUGAUUUCUGUCUUCUCCUGCUAGCCCAUUUUUAGUGCAUUCUUUAGUGGUUAUAUUAUGUAUCAGCUUGAUGAAAGUUUUCAAAUAUGAAAUUAUUAUGCUCCUCAGGAAAACUAUGAUUGUGAAUUAGGUUCUGCGCUUAUACACACCGUUAACUUCACUGACUCGAACUAUCCAUGAGGCUAUGCAGUUAGGAAAACUAUGUUUACCUGCUGGAGUGGUACUUUCUUUGCCAUUAAUCCUAUUUCAUCACGACCACGAAAUUUGGGGCGAUGAUGCAAAGGAGUUCAAGCCAGAGAGAUUUUCAGAAGGGUUGUCAAGGGCAACAAAGAACCAAUCAGUUGCAUUCUUUCCGUUCAGCUGGGGGCCUCGCGCGUGUAUUGGACAAAACUUUGCGAUGCUGGAAGCGAAUUGGCAAUGGCUAUGAUUCUACAAAGCUUCUCCUUCGGCUUUCGCCAUCUUACGCACAUGCUCACUGCAAUGUCCUCGCUCUUCAACCACAAUUUGGUGCUCACUUGAUUCUACACAAAGUUCAGAGAUUUCAAGUAGUUUUGUGGUUAAAUUUCUUGAACUAGC